rnacentral:rRNA from 1 species
UACGAAGGGUGCAAGCGUUAAUCGGAAUUACUGGGCGUAAAGCGUGCGUAGGCGGUUUCUUAAGUCUGCUGUGAAAGCCCCGGGCUCAACCUGGGAAUGGCGGUGGAUACUGAGAAGCUGGAGUACGGUAGAGGAAGGUGGAAUUCCCGGUGUAGCGGUGAAAUGCGUAGAGAUCGGGAGGAACAUCAGUGGCGAAGGCGGCCUUCUGGACCAGUACUGACGCUGAGGCACGAAAGCGUGGGGAGCGAACAGG